rnacentral:rRNA from 1 species
CAGCCGCCACGGUAAUACGGAGGGGGCUAGCGUUGUUCGGAAUUACUGGGCGUAAAGCGCACGUAGGCGGCUUGGUAAGUUAGAGGUGAAAGCCUGGAGCUCAACUCCAGAAUUGCCUUUAAGACUGCCGAGCUAGCAGGUGAGAGAGGUAAGUGGAAUUCCGAGUGUAGAGGUGAAAUUCGUAGAUAUUCGGAAGAACACCAGUGGCGAAGGCGGCUUACUGGCUCAUACUGGACGCUGAGGUGCGAAAGCGUGGGGAGCAGACAGGAUUAGAUACCCGCGUAGUCCCUGUCUCUUAUAC